CCUACGGGAGGCAGCAGUGAGGAAUAUUGGUCAAUGGGCGCGAGCCUGAACCAGCCAAGUAGCGUGAAGGAUGACUGCCCUACGGGUUGUAAACUUCUUUUAUAAAGGAAUAAAGUGAGGCACGUGUGCCUUUUUGUAUGUACUUUAUGAAUAAGGAUCGGCUAACUCCGUGCCAGCAGCCGCGGUAAUACGGAGGAUCCGAGCGUAAUCCGGAUUUAUUGGGUUUAAAGGGAGCGUAGAUGGGUUGUUAAGUCAAGGGUGAAAUCCCCGCGCUCAACGUGGGAACUGCCUUUGAAACUGGCAAACUGGAGUGUGUGAGAGGAUAGUGGAAUUCCAGGUGUAGGAGUGAAAUCCGUAGAUAUCUGGAGGAACAUCAGUGGCGAAAGCGACUAUCUGGCACAUAACUGACGCUGAGGAGCGAAAGCGUGGGUAGCAAACAGGAUUAGAUACCCUAGUAGUC
rnacentral:rRNA from 1 species